GGGACUUAUUGCCACUUUCUCUCAGCUGUUGUUCUGCUACCAUGUCAUGAGAUCUGCUGACUAUAGUUUCUGUUCCUCACCUAACCACAACUUCCCUAUUUUUUGUUGUCCCAACUACCAGACUUAGAUAAUUUCAAAGUUCACUUUAGUUUGGGCAAUGGGGAGUGUUUGACUUGCUUAUUUGGGGGUAUAUUAAAGAUUCCAUUGGAUGAAGUAUAGCUAGACUUUUGCUUCAAAUCUAUUUCCUCCUCAAGGUUUGGAUCUGUUGCUGGGUCUCCACUUCAGUUGUUUAUAUUCUUUAACAAGCUUAGGAGAGAUGAUUCAUACUCUGAAGGGAACUUUUCCACUGUUGCAGUUGACACUUUGGGUGACUAUGUUCCUGGUCACUGCAGAACUUCCCUCAAAUUUCACUCCAGCUCAAUGGUUCAAUAAGCAGCACGUGCAGCACCCCAAGACCAAAGCCUCCAAUGAUGACAUAUAUUGCAACAAUGAGAUGAGACAAAUCAAUAACUAUACCCAUAGGUGUAAAUCUUUCAACACCUUCCUAGACUACAUGCUUGAGGAUAUCAUCAAUGCUUGUUUCACACCCAACAUCACCUGUAAGAAUCUGCAGAAGAACUGUCAUAAAAGUACAUUGAAAGUUCCCAUUACUAACUGUGUAUUGACCAGUGAUCAUUAUCCCAACUGCCGUUACCAUGGCAUUUCUAAAAUGGCAUUCUUUGUUAUUGCCUGUAAUCCCCCCUUGCUAGCGGACCAUAGCAAAAGUAAACUACUUCCUGUGCAUUUGGACAGCAGUACUGAGGGCCCAGGUCCCAUACUUCUGUCUUCUUAAUUUCUAACACCCUAAUAUUUUACCCUUCUGCUUCAAAUUGUACUAUAGAUUUUUUUCUUUGACCUUUCUUACUUCUUAAGUCUCUGUAAUGCUCUUAUCCAUUAACUUGUCAAACAUUAUCCUGCAUGAUAGGGCUGAACUUAUCUUUCUGGAUGGCUUCAUCAAGGCAUAAGACUCUCCUAUUAUUCUUUUACCUGAUUUUCAUUGAUGAAAUUAACCUUCCAUAAUCCCCAUCCUAGCAAAGAUGUGGAAUUGAAUAGUCUGUCUCUCCCAUUCCUCACUGUCUCUUCACCUGUCCUAUCUUUUUAACUACCUUAGAUCCAAUUGGAGGAAAAAGGAGAUAAGUAUAUUUUUAUUCUAGCUUCUUCCCAUCCUUUAUUGUGCUGCUUACACUGUUCUUCAUGCCCCAACAAUAUCUUGGAUUCCAAUUCUGGGUAUUAUGGCUCUGUGUGCUGCCCCACAUCUCCCUUGGAUUAGUUUUUUUUCUCCUUAAAAUGUAAGCUCCUUUUAUAGCCCAAAGGGCUAAAAAUAUGAAUACCCAUUAAUUGAGCAAUAUCAGUUCUAUGUCUGUAUUACAAAGAGAUUUUAAAAAGGUGGAAAGGACCUGUUUGUACAAAAAUAUUUAUAGUAGCUAUCUUCAUAGUGACAAAAAAAUUGAAAACUGAGGGAAUGUCCAGCAAAUAGAGGAUGGCUAAAAAAUUGUGGUAUAUGAAUGUAAUAGAAUAUCUUUUUUCUAUAAGAAACGAUAAGCAGAAUUAUUGCAGAAAAACUUCAAAAGACCUACAUGAAUUGAUGCAGAACAAAGGGAUCAGAAUCAGAGAAUACACAGGAACACCAAUAAUGUAUGAUGAACAACUGUGGAUGACUUAGUUAUUCUCAGCAACAUAAGGAUCCAAGACAACUGCAAAGGGCUUAUGAUGAAAAAUACUAUCUGCCUCCAGAGAAAGAACUGAUGGAGUCUGAAUGCAGAUUGAAGCAGAUAAUUUCCCAUUUUAUUUUCUUCAUUUUUAAAACUGUUUUCUUCCACAACAUGAUGAGUAUGGAAAUAUGUUUUUAUGAUUGCACAUGUAUAACUAAUAGAAAAUUGCUUACCAUCUCAGAGAGGAGAGAGGAUGAAAGAGAAUGUGGAUUCAAAAUAUCAGAAAACAACUAUCUAGAAGAGUUUUUACAUAUAAAUGGGAAAAUGAAACAUUACUAUAAAAAAACACAAGAUUUUUAUGGACAGGGAUUAUCUUUCUUGUUUAUACUUUUAAUCUCAGUGAUUGGUGCCUAGUAAUUCCUUGAUAAUUGCUUUCCUGUCUGUCUAUCAAAUCAUAUAUCUAUAUAGAAUCUCUCUCUCUCUCUCUCUCUCUCUCUCUCUCUCUCUCUCUCUCUCUCUCUCUCUCUAAGAAUGGAUGAAAUUUUAGUGUCUUUCCUGAUUCAAUAUACCACAAGAGAAAGUGGCUUAUCUUCUACAAGCUGAAUUGUGAGGGUUAGAUUAAACCAGGUGUUGUGCUGUCUUCAAUAAAAGACUUUUUGCAUACAA